CCCAAGCCCCGUCCCGGUUUUCGACCCGGUUCUGCCGGAGGCGGUCACGUCCAAGGUGAGCGACCCGAUCAGAGUUACGGAUCCGGUUACGGUGGUCAGACGGAGGCUGAGUACGGUAGGAGACCUGAAUCGGGGUACGGCGGAGCCACGGAGACGGAGUAUGGCCGGAGACCUGAGCAGAGUUACGGAUCUGGUGGAUACGGUGGCAGAUCGGAGGUUGAGUCUGGUGGCUAUGGUGGUAGAUCAGAGGUUGAAUCUGGUGGAUACGGUGGAAGAUCGGAGUCUGGUGGCUAUGGUGGAAGAACGGAGGUUGAGUAUGGCCGGAGACCUGAAUCUGGAUAUGGUGGGAGAUCGGAGACGGAGACCGGGUACGGAUCCGGGUAUGAGAAGAAACCGAGCUUCGGUGAAGAGAGGAGCGAGUAUGAGCGCAAGCCUAGCUAUGGAAGGUCUGAGGAUCAAGAGGAAGGAGGUUACAGGAAGCCUAGCUAUGGGAGAUCUGAGGAUCAGGUUGAGAGCUACAUAAAGCCCAGCAGCUACGGGAGGUCUGAGGAAGAGGAAGAAGGAGGCUAUAGGAAGCCUAGCUAUGGAAGGUCUGAGGAACAGGAGGAAGGGAGUUACAGGAAGCCUAGCUAUGGCCGUCGUAAUGAUGAUGAUGAUGAUGAGGAGCGCAGGAACCGUUCCGGUGAUGAUGAGGAAGGGAGCUAUGGCCGCAAGAAAUAUGUAAGUUCAAUAAGUUAAUUAUAUAAAGUUAUAGUCAAUUUGCAUCUAGAUUAUUGUGUGGAAAUUAAGUUUAUUGAUUGUUUAAACAUAAAACCCUUUUGUUGAUGGACUGAUCUCAACAUUGAAACUAAAGAUUAUAGUUUUGGUGAUAACAUCCAUUACCCCCUUUAACUUCAUUCGUUCAGUAUUUGAUUUAACAUUGACAUCUUGUAGGUUAUAACAAUCAUAGUACAGAACUUGCAUUGUGUUUUUUGCGUCUCGUUUGUUUUGAAAAUAAGUUUUAGUUUGGUUUUGAUCACAGUGUAGCGGUGUAACUCUGUUUUCACAUCCUGAAAUGGAGUUCCUUAAUUUGAAAGCUAUGUUCUACAAUCCCAUAAUAACGUUCCUGGUUCAAUGUUUGUUUGAAUAUAGACAUCUUGAAUAUGUCCCAUUGUUGAUCUUAGUGUAGAGUAGUCUCCAUGUUGAACUAAAGUGUUUGUCUUUCAUACCCUGUAACUCUGUUUUCACAUCCUGUAAUGGAUUAGCCUCGGUUGAAAGCUAAGUUCUUUGAUUGAAAUUGCACAUCAUGUAUAUGACAUUUGAAGAUCAUAGUUACAGAGUAUCUAUCUCCAUUGUUAUGGUGACCGUUAAUAGAGGCAUCACUGACUAAAGCUUUCGCUUAACGUUAUUCAUCUCUGCAUCAAAUUCUGUAGGGUGGCAAU
rnacentral:lncRNA from 1 species